rnacentral:rRNA from 1 species
GAUGAACGCUAGCUACAGGCUUAACACAUGCAAGUCGAGGGGCAGCAUGAACUUAGCUUGCUAAGUUUGAUGGCGACCGGCGCACGGGUGAGUAACACGUAUCCAACCUUUCGUUUACUCAGGGAUAGCCUUUCGAAAGAAAGAUUAAUACCUGAUAGUAUGGUGAGAUUGCAUGAUAACACCAUUAAAGAUUUAUUGGUAAACGAUGGGGAUGCGUUCCAUUAGGUAGUAGGCGGGGUAACGGCCCACCUAGUCUUCGAUGGAUAGGGGUUCUGAGAGGAAGGUCCCCCCACAUUGGAACUGAGACACGGGUCCAAAACUCCUACGGGAGGCAGCAGUGAGGAAUAUUGGUCAAUGGGCGAGAGCCUGACAGCCAAGUAGCGUGAGGGAUGAAGGCUCUA